rnacentral:rRNA from 1 species
UACGGAGGUGACCAGCGUUGUCCGGAUUUACUGGGCGUAAAGAGCGCGCAGGCGGUCGUUUAAGUCGAGUGUGAAAGCCCCCGGCUCAACUGGGGAGGGGCAUUCGAUACUGAUCGACUCGAAGGCAGGAGAGGGAAGCGGAAUUCCCGGUGUAGUGGUGAAAUGCGUAGAUAUCGGGAGGAACACCAGUGGCGAAGGCGGCUUCCUGGCCUGUUCUUGACGCUGAGGCGCGAAAGCUAGGGGAGCAAACGGG